GCCGACAUGGCUCAGUGGUAGAGCACGUUCUUGGUAAGAACGGGGUCGCGGGUUCAAUUCCCGCUGUCGGCUCCC
rnacentral:tRNA from 2 species